AGUGAACGCUGGCGGUAGGCCUAACACAUGCAAGUCGAACGGCAGCACAGUAAGAGCUUGCUCUUACGGGUGGCGAGUGGCGGACGGGUGAGGAAUACAUCGGAAUCUACUUUUUCGUGGGGGAUAACGUAGGGAAACUUACGCUAAUACCGCAUACGACCUAUGGGUGAAAGCAGGGGAUCUUCGGACCUUGCGCGAUUGAAUGAGCCGAUGUCGGAUUAGCUAGUUGGCGGGGUAAAGGCCCACCAAGGCGACGAUCCGUAGCUGGUCUGAGAGGAUGAUCAGCCACACUGGAACUGAGACACGGUCCAGACUCCUACGGGAGGCAGCAGUGGGGAAUAUUGGACAAUGGGCGCAAGCCUGAUCCAGCCAUACCGCGUGGGUGAAGAAGGCCUUCGGGUUGUAAAGCCCUUUUGUUGGGAAAGAAAAGCAGCAGGCUAAUACCCCGCUGUUCUGACGGUACCCAAAGAAUAAGCACCGGCUAACUUCGUG
rnacentral:rRNA from 1 species